rnacentral:rRNA from 1 species
UAUGUGAUCGUCUCUCGCAUAUCAAUAAGCGGAGGAAAAGAAACUAACAAGGAUUCCCCUAGUAACGGCGAGUGAAGCGGGAAGAGCUCAAAUUUGAAAUCUUAAAGGGUUUCCCUUUACGAAUUGUAGUUUAAAGAAGUGUUUUCUGUUGAGGUUUUGGUAAAAGUUCUUUGGAAUAGGACAUCAUAGAGGGUGAGAAUCCUGUAUUUGACCUUUACUUUCAACUUUGUGAUACACUUUCAAAGAGUCGGAUUGUUUGGGAAUGCAGUCCAAAAUGGGUGGUAAAUUUCAUCUAAAGCUAAAUAUUGGCGAGAGACCGAUAGCGAACAAGUACCGUGAGGGAAAGAUGAAAAGAACUUUGAAAAGAGAGUUAAACAGUACGUGAAAUUGUCAAAAGGGAAGCGUUUGACACCAGUGUUGUUUUUCUGAAAAUCAAUUAAAGAACUGUUUAUGCUAAGUUGUUUAGACUUUAUCAGCUAUCUGUUUAGUUUUGAGCUUUUCUUUAAUGCACUUUUCAGUUAACAAGUCAACAUCAAUUUCUUUUGCUGUAAAAAAGCUUGAGGAAGGUGGCUUGAGAUUCGUCUUAAGUGUUUAUAGCCUCUUGCCUAUGCAGUCGGAGAGAUUGAGGUCUGCAGCGUAGAUCCUUCGGGGCUAAAUGCAUUUGUGCUAAGUUAUAGCAUUUUAUAGACAACUUGUUGACUAUGAUUUGUCUUGUAGCUUACUCGCUUAUGUUAUUUUACCUACGCUUAGGAUGUUGACACACGCGCGUGCUCG